rnacentral:lncRNA from 1 species
ACCGCAGACAUCAUUUCUACUACAGUGGCGGAGCCGUACAGGACCUGUUUCACUGCAGGGGGAUCCAAAACAAGCCCCGUGGAGCAGCAGCCAGAGCUACAGCAGCCGCAAGACACUGUUUCUCUCCCUCUGCCCCCCCUUCCCCACGCAACCCCAGAUCCAUUUACACUUUACAGAGGAUCGUGCAGCCAAUCACCAGGGUGGUCCAUUCAAGCUGCAGAUUUGUCUGUCAUCUUGGGACAGCAGGCUCGUCCUCCGCAGCCACUGCAGGAAAGUGCGUCACUCAUCAGGUCACAGAGAGCGCUGGUGGACGUCUCUCCUUGCCCCAAGAUCUUCGGUGGAAGUCCACGGGACUUGGUGUCUGUGCCGUUCAAAGUAUAUAUGAACUCGCCAGGAGGCAUAAUGCGUCACCAUUUAAUUCUGGGCCACCCUAAAGGAUGACACCCAGCUUCAGAGACCACCUCUUGGACAUCAGCCCUGAGAUCCAGUGUUUUAGCUCCCCAUUGUCUGAAAUCCGUUUCUGACCGAGUUGGAGCUGCCUUAGGCUUAGGCAUUCAAUGGCCAGGACCAUGUUGCAGCUCCCCACCUUUUGUCCCUUUCAGAGCAGCAGCUCGCUCUGAGCUCUUGUUGAGUCUUUUACACAGAUAUGCUAGAAAACAGGCACCAACCCAUUCUUUCCAUCUUGGCAUUUUCCCACAAGCCUAGUCCUGGGAUGACCUGGAGCGGAGAGGCAGUGGAGGAUAAAUUCAUCUUGUACAGACUUGUUCCUGCUAGCUCUAGCCUGUCUCUCGCCACAGAUCUAGCUUUUAAAUCCUCAAGUGAUUGGUUUUGCGUAGGAAUGUGUGGAUUGUUGGAUUGCAAUAAUUUUCUCCCUGAAUUUCUAGUGUUUAUAUAAGCAGAUGUAUAUAAAAAAAGUUCUGUCAUUGGUGUAAACAGCAGGGCCUAUUUUUAAUAGUUACAGGUGCUUAAAGAUGGUGCAGAAUAAAAAUGUGUUUUUUUAUUGCAAGUUGCAGCACAACCAAAAGUCUAUAUUAAUGUUUUGCCAGGAAAGGGCCAACGCGGAAAAUUUGCAACAAAGACGAACCUAGAAUAGAACCAGUGCAAACAGAAGCUGACAAAUAUAUGCCCCAUGUUGGGAGUUCAGCCCCUGGAAUGUUAUGUAGGACAAAAGGAAUGGAAGAGGUAUUUCAGUAACAUUUUGUUCUGUGUCAAAAACCUUGUGAAAUAUAAAUCUGCUGUGUAUUGGAGAAUGGAUACAGCGAUCGAUUCAGGUUGAAUAGCUUUCAUUUAACUAGAAUAUCCCACAGAAAGCCGUUCUUGUUCUGACAACCAUAGUUUUGUUUUUCUUGACUUAAAGAAAACUGAAUUCAUGUUUACAUUUUUUAUGGGAUUGUUUUAUGGACAGAGACACAGGUCAAAUCCCAUCUCAGCACAGUGGCUAUUGUUAUAGCAAAUGGAAACAUUUCUAAAUGAAAUAAAAACCAUUUCUAAGCCAUGGCCUGUGGCCCAUAGUAAUCAUACUACAUUGGUGUUAUGAAACCGUUUGCAACUAUCAAUAAUUCAGUCGUAGAUGUGCUUUUUUUCUAAUUCUGUUUUUAAAAAAUAUUCUAGUCUCUUGCCAACACACAUACCCAUGCAUAUACUUCACUGAUUUGCAUAGUAGAGAAGGAAGAAUAUGAAUAUGUAUAAUAGGAGUCAACUUUAUUUUGGACUUUCUGGAACAGAUCACUUUUUUUUUCCUCCACAUGAUGGCUCCCUGAAUUGCUUCCAAUUAUUGAACUUUCAUAAUUGCCCACAACUCUGUCUGUGUCCUUCUAACGGUCUUGCCAUGUCAACCAACCCAGCCAAAAGCUAGUAGCCAGUGAUAGUGGUUUAAGAAGCUGGACUUCAGCAUACCCCUGCCAAGGGUAUUCUGUUAUUCUCCAUUUGUACACUUCUCAAGAAGAAAUUAGGUGCUUGUUGUUGAGUUUUUUCAAUCCCCAGAUCAUUCUGGCAUUGAUCUUGGACUCAUUUGCAGACUAUUACUCCUGAAACAUUUUGGCUCUCUGUGACCUAUUGUUCAGUAGAAUCUGAGGUUUUCCAGGUACCUCAAAGACUUAAAUUUUAGGGAAAUUGAUCAAAAGAAAACUUCUCUAGGAAUAAAUGUCUUUUAGGUUUUAGCUCUAUUCUACCUUCAAGGUUCUUACCUGGAUGCCUUAUAUUUUAUUUCCUUUCUGUAUUUAUACUGAUUUGAUACUUGGGUUUACUGUUUUCUGUUUGGAAACAGCUUUUAAAAAGUAACACAGAGCUUAAAAAUAUAAAACAGUUCCAACCUGCUCCAUUCUUACCUUGACUAUCUUUUCUGCCUUAUUGCUAGACCACUGCUUCUCUUUCUGCUUCUCUUCUGGGAUUUUAUCUGCUCAGCAAUUCUAGUGUGUGAUUCUGAAUUCUAUGGUUUGAGUUUCCUGACCAACUUCUCUUUGCAUCUGAGUCUAUUUCCUGUGCGUAGAGCUCUGGCAUUCCAUUCUCAGAUCCCAGUCAAAAGUGAAACUUUUAGUGCUAAUAAGAUUAGUCCUUGCGACAUGCGACACUAUUAAUUCUUUACUCUCCAUUUCUCACUCCAUUGUUGUUUCUCAAAGACCAACUUUUCUUUGUUAUUAAGAACGUCAUUAGGAGAUGGUAACUACACUUAAUGUGAUCAUUUCACAGUGUGUACAAAUCUUGAACCAUGAUGUUGUACACCUGAAGCUAAUGUAAUGUUUUAUGUCAGUGAUACCUCAAUUUUAAAAAAAAAGAGGAGAAAAAAAACCCACUUCAUUUUGGUGUCACUUCCUUAAGACCUCCUGGAUUUUUGUUUUACUGAUACACUCCACAGCUUCAAACUGCAGGAACCAUCAACAGGUCUUUGACAAAUUAGUUGUCCCUACACAUGGUUUACAAUAUUACACUUGCUGUUUAAAAGUAAUUAAGCUUCUCUCAGUGUUCUUUGCUGUGGGUCAGGAACUUUAUUUGCUGUGCCAUCCAACACAGAAGUUAAUCACAAAUGGGUCCUCUGAACCAAAUAAUUAAAAAUAGAGCAAAGUUUCUGAACCAGGCGGUUGGCAGAAAAGUCUGUACUUCCAUCUGUGCAUGGUUAGGAAAAUAUUUCAUGAUACUGAAAUAGCGUCAGCCUUGCUCUCUUUUGUGUGAGAGUGUAUCUGUGUGACUGCAUGUCAUUCAGUGCUCUGAAUGUUUGUUUGAAAGUUAGCUAAACAUAUAUAUAUAUAUGUAUGUAUAAAAGUCACUGGCAAAGAAACAGGAAAGCAAAUCCAGGUGUUCUGUGCAUACAUUCUUUAUUUGCUGGUUUCUGUGAAGGGAUAAUGGUCUUGCUGUUGCUUUUCUGUUUAGUGAAAGUUUUCUCUAAGCAUGUGCUUCAGAAACUUAAAGAGCAUUACAUUUUUUUUUUUUUUUUUUUUUGCGGUACGCGGGCCUCUCACUGUUGUGGCCUCUCCCGUUGCGGAGCACAGGCUCUGGACGCGCAGGCUCAGCGGCCAUGGCUCACAGGCCCAGCCGCUCCGCAGCAUGUGGGAUCUUCCCGGACCUGGGCACGAAUCCGCGUCCCCUGCGUCGGCAGGUGGACUCUCAACCACUGCGCCACCAGGGAAGCCCAGGCAUUACAUUUUGACUUGAAAAUCUUUACGUCUUUUUUUUUUUUUUCUUUACAUCUUUUGAUUCUCUGUCUAUGAAUAGCCUUUGCUAAUAGCUCUUAGGAACUGUUCUUAGGUGAAAUGCUGAUGGAUCUGUUUCAGUUUGGAAUAUGGACGGUUAGGAGUUUCUGCUCUCUAGAAGGAGACGUAUGCCUGGAAUAUAUAUCAAACUCAUAAACACUUUAUGACAGAGGUACAGACAUGCAAGUGACUGAUUUUGAGAGAAAUGUAAUCCUUCAGUUUGGAUUUUCCUUUGUUUUCACCAGUAAUCGGUAACUUUCCAAAUAUGUUCAGUUUUGGCCAGUUCUAAGCCGAUGCUAUGACUUUAAAAGUAUAUUUUCUAUUUAUAAGGUUCUAAUUGCUAUAUAAAAUAAAGAUUAUUCCCCUCUGGUAUUUCUCUAUUGCAACUCUCUCUCUUUAUCCCUGGAAAAGUCUUAUUUUUUCGUUGAUUUUCUUUCUCCUGGGAGAGCCACUGUAUUAAAUAACAACUAAUGCUCAAUAAAUACACCAAAGGGAGAUUUAAGAAUUAUUAAGAGAAAAAAAAAAAAAAAGGAAAUGUCUUAAUUUUCUUCCUUUGGCUCCGAAACAUAUGUAUUUCUCAGAGUUACCAGUUUCUUUAUGCUUCCGGACACUUAGAGCCUAGGCAUACUCUUAAUACUGUGAUAAUAGAAUUAAAUACUGAAAUUAAGAGCUGUGGAUUGACCAUGCUCACAUAAAUUGAAAUUAAGGAAGGAGGAAUAUCUUCGAUAAAUGUCAUCAUUAAUGUAGCAGCUAAUUCUUGAGUUUAGCUAUGAAGAUCAACUAAAGUUGAUGAUAGUUUGAUUAUUGAGGUACUUUGUCAUUCAUGAAACUCAGAAUUUAAUAGUUUGAUCAUUUGGGCAGUUUGUCAUUCAUGAUGUUUAAGAGACCGUACACAUCUUUCUGUCCAACCUCCUGAAUUUACAUUGAACUUCAUUUUGUUCAUUUCUUGCAAACCUGUGAAUGCCCAGAGGGAACAAUAAAGUUGAAUAAAUUGUGGCCUGUGGCUUCAA